rnacentral:rRNA from 1 species
GGCGAACGCUGGCGGCGUGCUUAACACAUGCAAGUGGAGCGACGAACCAGGGCUUGCCCUGGGGCAGAGCCGCGAACGGGUGAGUAACACGUGGGUAACGUGCCCCGAUGACUGGGACAACCCGGGGAAACCCGGGCUAAUACCGGAUGUGCCCCCUCACAUCAGUGAGGUGUGUAAAGGAAGCUUCGGCCUCCGCAUCGGGAUCGGCCCGCGGCCCAUUAGCUUGUUGGUGAGGUAACGGCUCACCAAGGCUGCGAUGGGUAGCUGGUCUGAGAGGACGAUCAGCCACACUGGGACUGAGACACGGCCCAGACUCCUACGGGAGGCAGCAGUGGGGAAUCUUGCGCAAUGCGCGAAAGCGUGACGCAGCAACGCCGCGUGGGGGAAGACGGCCUUCGGGUUGUAAACCCCUUUCAGUUGGGACGAAGGUCGGGCGGUUAACAGCCGUUCCGGCUGACGGUACCUUCACAAGAAGCCCCGGCUAACUACGUG